GAAUCUUCUAUUUUGCGUUUUGAUUUGAUGUUAUCCUCCUCCUGUUUCUGUCACCUCACCGUCAACACCGUACCUAAAAAAGCAUCAUUCAUCAAUAUCAUCCUCUUCCUCUAACUCACACGCUUCUUCCGAAAUUUCUGCUAAUCUUAGCUGAAAAAUAAGACAACGAUGACGAUGAUGGUGGUUGUUUUGGGGUUGUUGGAUUUCAUUGUUGCCGGUGUUUCUCUCAUCUUUGGUCUUUUCCUUUUCGGUCUCAUUGCUUCCCUUCUAUGUGUUGUCGCCUCCUUCAACAACGCUAAGGACGUUUCUUAACUCCCUCUCAAUUCAACUAUCAUUUCAUUUAUGUAUCCAACUGUUAGUUGUACUGACUGUUGGGUCUUCUUGGGAUGUUUGGUAGUUAUCUAUAUGAAAUCAAAUGUAUCAAAAUGGAACCUUGGAUCUUAUGAGUGAAAGAGUACAAAUGGUACUUCAGGCAUCUUGACUAUGAAUGUUGUUACAAGUUCAUCACACUGGAGAACGAUUGGUAGUUCUUUAAUUUACUUUUUGGCAGUCUUUCUGGAGUUUGGAAGCAGCAUACCCUCAUAAUUUCUUAACUUGAAAGGAAAAUCUUUCUUCACCAUCCAUUUAAAGCUAGCACUGCUCAAGUUUCAGACUUGCCACUCUAUAUUUCUGUUUUGGACCAUUUAACUCUUUCCUUUUGUGUAUGUUAUGUAGACCCAACCCCAAAAUUUUAAUUAUAUGUAAAAGAUGAGAGAAAAAUAUUAGCUAUUAA